GACGUGAGGGCGCGAGCGUUGUCCGGAUUAUUGGGCGUAAAGAGCUCGUAGGCGGCUUGUCGCGUCGACUGUGAAAACCCGCGGCUCAACUGCGGGCCUGCAGCCGAUACGGGCAGGCGUAGAGUUCGGUAGGGGAGACUGGAAUUCCUGGUGUAGCGGUGAAAUGCGCAGAUAUCAGGAGGAACACCGGUGGCGGAAGGCGGGUCUCUGGGCCGA
rnacentral:rRNA from 1 species